AGAGUUAAUUUUCUUCAUAGUAUCUAGUAUAAGGCUAUGUUUUGGAUUUGUGCUGGAAACAGUGUUGAUAAUAUAGGGAUGUUUUAGUUCUUGCUGAGAAGUGCUUACACACAGUCAAGGCCUUUUCUGCUGCUCACCCCACCUCACCAGUGAGUAGGCUGGGGGUGCACAAGAAGCUGGGAGGGGGCACAGCUGGGACAGCUGACCCCAACUGACCAAAGGGAUAUUCCAUGUCAUAUGAUGUCAUGAUCAGCACAUAAAGCUGGGGGAAGAAGGAAGGGGGACAUUUGAAGUGAUGGUGUUUGUAUUCCCAAUUAACUGUUACAUGUGAUGAAGCCCUGCUUUUCUGGAGAUGGCUGAACACCUGCCUGCUGAUGGGUAGUAGUG